rnacentral:lncRNA from 1 species
CUCGCUCCAGUGCUUAUACUCGUCGCUACUUGGUCCAUGUGUGGCGCCCCUGAUUCAGUCAUACACUAAUCAUACACGCAAACAUGUACGAUCAAGAUCAGGGACUCACGAAAAGAUAUCACAACACAACUCUAAAAAAAAUAAGUCAUACAAGCAUCAUAAUACAAGCCAGGGGCCUCGAGGGCUCGAAUACAAGUGCUUGAUCAUAGACGAGUCAGCGAAAGCAACAAUAUCUGAGUACAUAUAUAAGUUAAACAAGUUUACCUUAAGAAGACUAGCACAAACUGGGAUACAGAUCAAAAGAGGCGCAGGCCUCCAGCCUGGGAUCCUCCUAAACUAGUCCCGGUCGUCGUCAGCGGCCUGCACAUAGUAGUAGGCACCUCCGAUAUAGUAGGAGUCGUCGUCGACGGUGGCGUCAAGCUCCUGUGCUCCAGCAUCUGGUUGCGACAACCAAGUAGAAUGGAAAGGGGGAAAAGAGAGAGAAAAGCAAUCGUGAGUACUCAUCCAAAAUACUCGCAAGCAAGGAUCUACACUACAUAUGCAUGGGUAUAUGUGUAAAGGGGCAAUAUCGAUGGACUGAACUGCAGAAUGCCGGAAUAAGAGGGGGAUAACUAGUCCUGUCAAAGACUACGCUUCUGGGAGCCUCCAUCUUGCAGCAUGUAGAAGAGAGUAGAUGGUAAGUUCACCAAGUAUCAUCGCAUAGCAUAAUCCUACCCAGCGAUCCUCCCCUCGUCGCCCUAUGAGAGAGUGACCACUAGGUUGUAUCUGGCACUUGGAAGGGUGUGUUUUAUUAAGUAUCCGAUUCUAGUUGUCAUAAGGUCAAGGUACAACUCCAAGUCGUCAUGUUACCGAAGAUCACGGCUAUUCGAAUAGAUAAACUUCCCUGCAGGGGUGCACCAUAUUUUCCAACACGCUCGAUCCCCUUUGUCCGGACACACUUUCCUGGGUCAUGCCCGGCCUUGAAAGAUCAACACGUCGCAGCCCCACCUAGGCACAACAGAGAGUUCAGCAUGCCGGUCUAAAUCCUAUGGCGCAGGGGUCUGGGCCCAUCGCCCAUUGCACACCUGCACAUUGCGAACGUGGCCGGUGAGCAGACCUAGCCUCCCUUAUACAAGAGCAGGCGUUCCAGUCCAACCCGGCGCGCGCCGCUCAGUCGCUGACGUCACGAAGGCUUCGGCUGAUACCACGACGUCGAGUGCCCAUAACUGUUCCCGCGUAGUUGAUUAGUGCAUAUAGGCCAGUAGCCAGACUCAGAUCAAAUACCCAGAUCUCAUUAAGCGUCUUAUUUUAAAUUAAUCGUGAAUGCAGUAAUAAUAAGCUAUGUAUCAGAAUAGGAUUAACAGAAAGCAGUAACAUGCUACACUACUCUAAUGCAAAUAGUAUAGAGAAAAGUAGGCGAUAUCUGGUGAUCAAGGGAGAGGGGCUUGCCUAGUUGCUCUGGCAAGAGAGAGGGGUCAUCAACACCGUAGUCGAACUGGGUCGCCGACAGUCUCGGGGUCUACCGGAAAGAAAUAACGGAGGGGGAACAUAAUAAAUAACAAAGCAAUCAAAGUAACACAAAGUAUAACAUGGCAAUACGCGGUGCUAGGGGUGAUCUAACGCAGGGAUAGGUGAUACCAGCAAAGGGAGGAAACAUCCGCGAAAGUAUUCCCAGUGUUUGACAUUUUCGGACGGAUGGUUCGGAGGGGGAAAGUUUGUAUGUUCGCUAUGCUAGGAACGCGUGGCGGAUGAACGGACCACGUAUUCAGAUUCGUCUCGUCGUUCUAAGGAACUUUCAUCCGAAUUACGGAUUAUUUUAUAUUAAUUUUCAAAGUCUUAAUUAAUUUUCUGAAAUUUAUUUAUGCUUCAAAAAUAAACAGUAAAAUAACUUUGUCACCUAGUGCUAUUGUAGCCAUAGUGUAUGACAGGUGGGGUCAGUGGGGCUGGGUUGACCCGGUCAGAGGGUGACUGGUCAGCAUAUGAAUAGUGUAAGUCGGUCCCGCAUGUCAUUGUCUUUAGUUUAAUAAAAUGGUAAUUAACCAGGGUGGUCCCACAUGUCAUUUACACUAUACCUAACCACUACUUUGCCUAACUACUAAUUAGCUACUAACCUAAACAGGGCCGGUCUCAUCCAGAGACCCAGCCGGCCAUACCCACACACUCACGCACACACAACAACACACACAGACACACACACACACAUGGCCGCUUGGCCAUGGCCAUGGCCACCGGUAGCAGCUGUUCGCGACAGGCAGCGGCGCCGGCGAGCAGCGGCAACACACAACGGGAGCAGCAGUUAAAAGCAGCAGCAGGAGGAGGAAACGGCAGCAGCGUAGCCGCAAGUAGGCAGCAGGAGCAGCAGCUACGGGAGCAGGGGGCACGGACGUUGCGGGCGCGGAGCAGAGGGCAGCGGGCCGGGGCGAGGCUGCACGCAGGAGGCAAGGCCGAUUCAGGGGGCGGCCGAUGGCAGCAACAUCGCAGUAGCCACCAGCGGGGCGAGCAGGGGGCGCCGAGGCGCAGCAGAGGCGGCCGGCCGGAGUUCAGGCAUGCCGCGGAAUCGGAGCUGCGGGGCACGGGGAGAUGGUUUGGCGAGUGCCGCGGGUUCCUGGGGAGCCAAUGAGCUCGGACGCAAGCUCUGCUUGCCGUGGCUGCGGUGACGAGGCGAAAGGCGGUGACAAGUUUCGGCCACGACGGAGACUAGCACUAGAGGACGAGCACGAGCAAAUUAGCAGAGGGGAUUUACGGCAGAGCUCACCUAGGAGCUCAUGGAGGCUCGUUGAGUGAACGGGAGCAGCAGGGGUCGAUGGAUUUGGAGACGAACGCCGACGACAGCAGAGGGGGACUCGGUCGAUCCCGGCGCGGUGGCGAUCUUCUGCUCGGGUUCGGGGUCGGAGAGGAAGAAGCGGGCAACGGCGGUGCUUCCAGGGGUAGUCCUAGGCGGCGGGGAGGUCGCUGGCCACGCAGGCGAUGGCGACCAUGGCGACGGAGGUCUCGGGACGUCGCGGGGAAGAAGAAGCGGCGUGGGUGGAGGGGGAAAGUGGGGUUAGGGUUCGACCACGG